rnacentral:rRNA from 1 species
GACGAACGCUGGCGGCGUGCCUAAUACAUGCAAGUGGGACGCAAGGGAACACACUGUGCUUGCACACCGUGUUUUCUUGAGUCGCGAACGGGUGAGUAACGCGUAGGUAACCUGCCUAUUAGCGGGGGAUAACUAUUGGAAACGAUAGCUAAUACCGCAUAAUAUUAAUUAUUGCAUGAUAAUUGAUUGAAAGAUGCAAGCGCAUCACUAGUAGAUGGACCUGCGUUGUAUUAGCUAGUUGGUAAGGUAAGAGCUUACCAAGGCGACGAUACAUAGCCGACCUGAGAGGGUGAUCGGCCACACUGGGACUGAGACACGGCCCAGACUCCUACGGGAGGCAGCAGUAGGGAAUCUUCGGCAAUGGACGAAAGUCUGACCGAGCAACGCCGCGUGAGUGAAGAAGGUUUUCGGAUCGUAAAGCUCUGUUGUAAGUCAAG